rnacentral:lncRNA from 1 species
UAUUUUAGGGUGGUUACUUUAUGCUAAAUUCAAAGCUCUUGUUGGUGAGAAUUAGAAUAAUGAGGUGGAGGUGAGAAUGGAUUGGAGAAAUUUGAAGAGAUAGUUAUUGAUUGGAACAAAAGGGUAUAUAGAAAUAUUUUUGUGCGCAAAUGACAUUUAAUCUUCGAGUUAGCUCUUGUGCAAAAAAAUUCAGACUUAAGGCCCUUUUUGAAACUACGCAAGCGAGAGUUGGAAUUACGUCAAGAGAUAGAGGAGGUUCUUAAGCAUAAGGAACUAUUAUGGUUCC